rnacentral:tRNA from 1 species
AUCCAUGAUGGCCGAGAUAUUAGGCAUCGAGCUUUUAACUCGAUCACAGUUUUUACUUCAGGAUG